AAUUGAGGGGGGCUGCUCCUAGUACGAGAGGACCGGAGUGGACGCAUCACUGGUGUUCGGGUUGUCAUGCCAAUGGCAUUGCCCGGUAGCUACAUGCGGAAGAGAUAAGUGCUGAAAGCAUCUAAGCACGAAACUUGCCCCGAGAUGAGUUCUCCCUGAUUCUUUAAGAGUCCUGAAGGAACGUUGAAGACGACGACGUUGAUAGGUCGGGUGUGUAAGUGUAGCGAUACAUUGAGCUAACCGAUACUAAUGAACCGUGAGGCUUAACCUUACAACGCCGAAG
rnacentral:rRNA from 1 species